CUAACGGUUUUUUUAAAAACCACUUAGCUACCUGAAAUUCCUCU
rfam:Gorilla gorilla gorilla genomic chromosome, chr12, whole genome shotgun sequence